ensembl:snRNA U2 U2 spliceosomal RNA
AUUGCUUCUUGGCCUUUUGGCUAAGAUCAAGUGUAGAAUUAUUUUGGCCAAAGUUUUUUUUCUCAAUUUGCUUCAUUUUUUAAUUUACAGAGCCUAU